UAGGGAAUAUUAGUAAUGGGCGAAAGCCUGAACUAGCAACGCCGCAUGUGCGAAGAAGGCCUUCGGGUUGUAAAGCACUUUUUGAGAGGAUGGGGAAGGACGGUACUCUCAGAAUAAGUCUCGGCUAACUACGUGCCAGCAGCCGCGGUAACACGUAGGAGGCGAACGUUAUCCGGAUUUACUGGGCGUAAAGCGCGUGUAGGUGGUUUGGUAAGUAGGGCGUGAAAGCUCCUGGCUCAACUGGGAGAGGCCGUUCUAAACUGCCGAACUAGAGGAUGGUAGAGGGAGGUGGAAUUCCGGGUGUAGCGGUGGAAUGCGCAGAUAUCCGGAGGAACACCAGUGGCGAAAGCGGCCUCCUGGACCAUUCCUGACACUCAGACGCGAAAGCUAGGGUAGCAAGCGG
rnacentral:rRNA from 1 species